AGUGAACGCUGGCGGUGGGCCUAACACAUGCAAGUCGAGCGGCAGCACAGUAAGAGCUUGCUGUUACGGGUGGCGCGUGGAGGACGGGUGAGGCAUACAUCGGAUUCUACUUUUUUGCGGGGGAUUACGUAGGGAAACUUACGAUAAUACCGCAUCAGACCUAUGGGUGAAAGUAGGGGUUAUUCGGACUUUGCGCGAUUGACUGAGCGGAUAGCGGCUUAGCAAGUUGGCGGGGUGUAGGAGCACCAAGGCGACGAUCCGUGGCUGGUCUGCUAGGAUGAUCAGCCACACUGUAACUGAGGCACGGUCCAGACUCCUACGAGAGGCAGCAGUGGUGAAUAUUGGACGAUGGGCGCAAGCCUGAUCCAGCCAUACCGCGUGGGUGAAGAAGACCGUCUGGUUGUAGAACCCUUCUGUUGGGAAAGAAAAGCAGCAGGUUAAUACCCCGCUGUGCUGACGGUACCCUAAGAAUAAGCACCGGCUAACUUCGUG
rnacentral:rRNA from 1 species